AGUGAACGCUGGCGGCAGGCCUAAUACAUGCAAGUCGAACGGCAGCACAGCAGAGCUUGCUCUGUGGGUGGCGAGUGGCGGACGGGUGAGGAAUACAUGGGAAUCUGCCCAGUCGUGGGGAUAACGUAGGGAAACUUACGCUAAUACCGCAUGCGCCCUUCGGGGAAAGCCGGGGACCUUCGGCCUGGCGCGAUUGGAUGAGCCCAUGUCGGAUUAGCUAGUUGGCGGGUAAUGGCCCACCAAGGCGACGAUCCGUAGCUGGUCUGAGAGGAUGAUCAGCCACACUGGAACUGAGACACGGUCCAGACUCCUACGGGAGGCAGCAGUAGGAAUAUUGGACAAUGGGCGCAAGCCUGAUCCAGCCAUGCCGCGUGAGUGAAGAAGGCCCUCGGGUUGUAAAGCUCUUUG
rnacentral:rRNA from 1 species